rnacentral:rRNA from 1 species
CCUACGGGUGGCAGCAGUGGGGAAUAUUGGGCAAUGGGCGCAAGCCUGACCCAGCAACGCCGCGUGAAGGAAGAAGGCUUUCGGGUUGUAAACUUCUUUUGUCAGGGACGAAGCAAGUGACGGUACCUGACGAAUAAGCCACGGCUAACUACGUGCCAGCAGCCGCGGUAAUACGUAGGUGGCAAGCGUUAUCCGGAUUUAUUGGGUUUAAAGGGUGCGUAGGCGGGCAUUUAAGCCGGCGGUCAAAUGUCGGGGCUCAACCCCGGCCUGCCGUCGGAACUGGGUGCCUUGAGUGGGCGAGAAGUAUGCGGAAUGCGUGGUGUAGCGGUGAAAUGCAUAGAUAUCACGCAGAACCCCGAUUGCGAAGGCAGCAUACCGGCGCCCUACUGACGCUGAGGCACGAAAGUGCGGGUAUCGAACAGGAUUAGAUACCCCAGUAGUC